GGCCGGGCGCGGAGGGCGGGGCCCAGGGACGUCACCUGGACUGGGCUCCGCGGGGUCCCGGGUGCUGGGUCCUGGGUGGCGCAGAAGCGCUCCGGGAGGCUCAGGACCUCGGGUCCCUGGACCCCUGGACCCCUGGCUUUCUAGACCCCUGGACCCCUGGUUCCCCGGCCUCCUGUACCCCUGCAUCCCUCGGUCCCUGGACCCCUGGACCCCCGGAUUUCCUAGACCCCCGGACCCCUGGAUUUCCUAGACUCCUAGACCCCUAGCCUCCUGGACCCCUGGACUCCUGGGCCCCUGGAACCCUGUACCCUGGACCCCUGCAUCCCCUGAGCCCCCCGGACGCCCUUGGCCCCUGAAGACAGCGGACCCCUGCCGCCCCUGGAUUCCCCACACUCCUCGGUCCCUGAACCCCGAGCUCCCUGGCCCCGCGGGGCCCUGUCCCCCUCCGCGCCCGCUCCCCUCCUGCCCGAAAAGUUGUGCGUCCCCGCCGGCCGCCGACUUUCGGGCGCCCUUACCUCGUGGCAGUUGCUUAGAUUUUCCAUCGCGAGCGGCUUCAGCUGCCUGCGCCCCGGCCGCGCGCCGAGCCCGAGGAGGAGGCGAAGUCUGGGCCGCUCCUCCGCGGUGACGGCCGGGUCGGGGCGCUCGCCUAGCUCGCAGCCUCGCUCCCGUGGCGCCCGGCGCUCAGGGUGCCAUGGAGACGGCGCCGCCCCCGGCCCUCGGGGUGGGCUGGGCGGGGCACCUGUGGCCGGCCGCGCGCGUGUGCGCGCCUGCGUGUGCGCGCGCGCGUGGUGUUGGGGGACAACAUGGUUUCCCCAAAAGUGUCCCCGCUCCCCAGUUCCUCCCGCGGCGGCAUCAGCGCGGCCGUCUCACCCCAGGGAGACGACCCUGCCUCGGCCUCGAAGUCCGCUCGCAGGACCGCGCCCCUUGGGAAAGCGGGAGGCCCCAGCGCCCACGCGAAAGGAGCCGUCCUGCCCCCACGUCCUCUCUGGUGGAAACGGCGGCUCGCGAGGCCGACUUCGGGACCUGUGUUUGGGUCCCUGCAAGAAAUCCUGCGUCCAGGAGAGUGCAGUGCAUCCAAGCAGGGCAGCGAACUAGGACUGGCUCAGAAGAAAGCGAACUUCUAAGUGAUGGCAAGGGCAAUUACGUCGGGCGUGGUGAGGGAAGUGCUGUGGGAUUCUAAAGAGGAAGAGCAUGUGUAAUACCUAGGGUUUGCAUUCCCUGAGAAGAGCGGCCUCGGACAGACGGAACACACCUGAGCUCCUUUUCACCCCUUACCCUGGAUCUGGUCCCCUUCCCCUCUGAGGAAGAUCUAUCUCCCUAUUUCCUAUUAUCUAUCUUUCAUUUUGAUUCUUAUUUAAACUUUUCUCUCCAUUCUGUCUCAUAAAAGAUCAUAUGGUUUUCUGGAAAAACAAAACGAACUCAGAAAGUGAAAAAAAUUUGUAAUACAUUAUUCUGGCCUCUUGGAAUUUUUUUCAUGAAAUAAAGUGAAAUGAAACCACAUGUGUUUGUUCGUAUUUUGGAGAAACCGUCUACAACUGGAACAUGACAGUGCUUGGCUUCCCACUUCCAUUGCAAAACAAAUUCACUGCCUCCACUCAGUGUCCGGAGUUCCUCAUCAUCCUCGGGGCGGAAUGUGGCCCCAGCCCCAGGUUUCCGUAAAUGCACGAGGAUUCA
rnacentral:lncRNA from 1 species